rnacentral:tRNA from 1 species
GCAUUGGUGGUUCAGUGCUAGAAUUCUGACCUUCCAUACAGGAGACCUGGGUUCAAUUCCUGGGCAAUGCA